CUACCUCUGUGGUGGAUAGUGGAGUGUUUCCCAUGUGGUAUUGGUGUGCUGGAUAUCCCUUCACUGGUAGCCUGGUAACACACACUCCCAGGUCUUUCUCUGCCUCUGUGGUGGAUAGUGGAGUGUUUCCCAUGUGGUAUUGGUGUGCUGGAUAUCCCUUCACUGGUAGCCUGGUAACACACACUCCCAGGUCUUUCUCUGCCUCUGUGGUGGAUAGUGGAGUGUUUCCCAUGUGGUAUUGGUGUGCUGGAUAUCCCUUCACUUGUAGCCUGGUAACACACACUCCCAGGUCUUUCUCUGCCUCUGUGGUGGAUAGUGGAGUGUUUCCCAUGUGGUAUUGGUGUGCUGGAUAUCCCUUCACUGGUAGCCUGGUAACAUACACUCCCAGGUCUUUCUCUGCCUCUGUGGUGGAUAGUGGAGUGUUUCCCAUGUGGUAUUGGUGUGCUGGAUAUCCCUUCACUGGUAGCCUGGUAACAUACACUCCCAGGUCUUUCUCUGCCUCUGUGGUGGAUAGUGGAGUGUUUCCCUUGUGGUAUUGGUGUGCUGGAUAUCCGCUCCCAAAUGCAGGACUUUACAUUUUUCUUCAUUGAAUUGUAUCAGCCACUUUUUGCUC